rnacentral:rRNA from 1 species
AUGACGAAAAGGAACAGAAACUAUUACCUAAUGCCAGAUGAAGAAGACCCGGUAAGACCAGUUCCAAACAAGAUCGGAAAAGUGAUGUUUCUCACAGCAGUUGCAAGGCCCAAAUACGACGCUGAAGGGAAUAUCACAUUCUCAGGAAAGAUUGGGGUUUGGCCUUUCGUCACAACAGUUGCGGCACAAAGAAGGAGUGAAAAUAGAGAACGAGGAGUCAUGGAAUUCAAGUCACUCAUGGUGAACAGAGAAGUCAUGAGACGAUACAUGAUUGAGAAAGUUGUUCCUGCAAUAAAAGAUGUGUGGCCCUUUGAAGAUGUUGGACAAACAGUCUUCAUCCAACAAGACAAUGCAAGGACACAUAUUUUACCUAAUGAUGUUGGGUUCACAGAAGCAGUGGCUGAGACUGGAAUGGACAUCAAACUAAUGCAACAACCCCCAAAUUCUCCUGACUUGAAUGCUCUUGACCUUGGGUAUUUCAGAUCCCUAGAGUCUCUAACGGACUGCAGAGCCCCUACCACCAUCCCCGAACUAAUUCAAGGGGUACAGGAAGAAUUCAAUGACUAA